CACGUAGGGCGCAAGCGUUGUCCGGAAUUAUUGGGCGUAAAGCGCUCGCAGGCGGCCUGAUGCGUCGUGCGUGAAACACCCCGGCUCAACUGGGGGGGGUCGUGCGAUACGGUCAGGCUCGAGGCCAGUAGGGGGACGCGGAAUUCCGGGUGUAGUGGUGGAAUGCGUAGAGAUCCGGAGGAACACCAGCGGCGAAGGCGGCGUCCUGGACUGGUACUGACGCUCAGGAGCGAAAGCGUGGGGAGCGAUCCGG
rnacentral:rRNA from 1 species